UGACGCAACGCCGCGUGGAGGAUGAAGGUCUUCGGAUUGUAAACUCCUGUUGCCCGGGACGAAUGGCCACGACCUAACACGUCGUGGUGUGACGGUACCGGGUGAGGAAGCCCCGGCUAACUCUGUGCCAGCAGCCGCGGUAAUACAGAGGGGGCAAGCGUUGUUCGGAAUUACUGGGCGUAAAGGGCGCGUAGGCGGCCCGCUAAGUCGAACGUGAAAUCCCCGAGCUCAACUCGGGAACUGCGUCCGAUACUGGCGGGCUUGAAUCCGGGAGAGGGAUGCGGAAUUCCAGGUGUAGCGGUGAAAUGCGUAGAUAUCUGGAGGAACACCGGUGGCGAAGGCGGCAUCCUGGACCGGCAUUGACGCUGAGGCGCGAAAGCUAGGGGAGCAAACGGGAUUAGAUACCCCGGUAGUCCUAGCCCUAAACGAUGAAUGCUUGGUGUGGCGGGUAUCGAUCCCUGCCGUGCCGAAGCUAACGCAUUAAGCAUUCCGCCUGGGGAGUACGGUCGCAAGGCUG
rnacentral:rRNA from 1 species